UCUGGAACCAAUGGCGGCGGUGGCACCGCCAUGAAAGCUGAUCUUGGUGAUUUUAUCGAGCAACUCGAUCUGGGCGACGAAUCCUUUGAUGAUCUGGUGAUUGACGAGGACGACCCUGAGAUUAGCGAACGUGUGAGAUGGUUAGCCCUUGCUAGGGUUCAUACGGACAAAAUCUUCAGCCAGGCAGCGUUCUAUCGUGAUAUGCGUGCAGCAUGGAAUCCAGCAAGGCAUGUUCAAUUCCGGUCGGUCGGCCCUAACCUUUUUGUGGUCCAGGCAUCUUGCUUGGGUGACUAUGAGAGGAUGAUGGAUCAAGGGCCAUGGCUAUUUAGGAAUUGGGCAGUACUAAUGUGUUCUUUUGAUGGUUUUACCAAGGCAAAAUAUGUGGCCAAUGUUUUCAUGCCGAUUUGGCUCCAAAUCCACAAGUUUCCAGAUGGUUUUUGCAAGAAACAAUUGGAACAGCUGCUAAAGAACUCAGGACAGAUAGUAGAUAUGAGGCUUAACAGUAACACCAGAGGUGAUUAUGUCAGAAUCAGAGUCCACCAUGAUGUUCGACAGCCCCUAACCAAGUUUGUGAGCACUAUCAGAGGGAAAGAACGUUAGGUGUACCUUGUUCGCUAUGAGAAACUUGCUCGUUUUAGUAUGUGUGGCCUUAUUUGACAUGAUUGUAAGGAAUGUGGCACUGGGGUGCAUGAAGAAAAUAGAAAAAAGUAUGGUCCUUGCUUGUACGCUGACACACCAAAUAAAUUUGGUGCUGUUGAGCAGUUUGGAAGUGCUGGAGGGUCCCAGCCGAAAGGUGCAUCAGGGAAAGGCUUAGCUGAUCCUGAGGUGUUGGAUACAUAUACAUGUCAAUCCAAACUGGGCGUUUUCCCCAUGAUGGUAGAUCCGUCGAUCAGAAAGAGGCUUGCCUUGGAGGUACAAAACAAGGAGAAUGGACAUGAUGAUUUGUCGGCACAUGUGGGUACUUUGGCCUUAACACAGGGUAAUGGUGAGGAUGGUGUGGAAAAUAAAUCGCCAAGUAGCAGUACGAGCAGCAAGCAUGCACGGAUUGGCGUUGAGGGUGUUUCUGGAGAUGUAUGA
rnacentral:rRNA from 1 species